AUACUACUAAAAUUUUUAAUUUCAACUAGUAACAGAAAUACUCUGACUAUAAUUAUUGCUCUUAAUAAGGAACAGGCCUAAACAUUUUGUCUAAUUCCUACUACCUAUACUUGCUUCUCUUAGAGUUUUUUCUUCCAGAUUUCCUGUUAUGACUCUUAAGAUAGCAUCAAAGGGUAACAAGAAGACAAAUCCCCGGAGUUGCAAAGUUCACUACAUCUUAUUUUCAGCUACAUCUCCAGCAUCUAAAUGAUAAUUUCCAGAACCUCUUAUCUGAAUUCCUUUGUCCAACCUGGAACUUCAAACUGAUCUUCCUGAAGCUGAUCUUAACACAGCAUCCCUACACUGAAAGAUGUCAAUGAUUCUCCUCUAUACAAAAUGAGGAUUCACAAUGAAUUAGAUCAAUUUUGCUAUGAGAAUACAACUUGCCUGCCAGCGGCCUCCAGACAUCCUCCAGUGCUGCCUCAAAGUAAAACCAGACCCCCAGCCCCAGGAAAAGAUCAACAUUUUUAUAGGACCCAGCAUGGUGUGUAUUUGCUCAGGAUUUUUGUCUUCUUAAUUAAAUAUUUUUCAGUCCCUGUCUCAGAAAUUAGAAAACACAAUUGAAAUGCCGCAAGAUACAUACUAUUCUAAGCCUGGAUGUGAAAUGGUAGCUAGAGGCCAUAAAAUUACACCGCAGCUAUUACAGAUAAUUAUCAAGGAUAUUCUGUGAGAACAUAAACAAUGGACUAAAAAAACCAUAGACUACAUUACUUGUGUUAAAUAAAAACAACUGUGUCACAUUUCCUAAAAGUG
rnacentral:lncRNA from 1 species